GAUGAAGAACGUAGCGAAAUGCGAUAAGUAAUGUGAAUUGCAGAAUUCAGUGAAUCAUCGAAUCUUUGAACGCAUCUUGCGCUCCUUGGUAUUCUGAGGAGCAUGCCUGUCCGAGCGUCAUUGCUGCCCUCAAGCACGGCUUGUGUGUUGGGCCUCCGUCCUCCUCCCGGGGGACGGGCCCGAAAGGCAGCGGCGGCACCGCGUCCGGUCCUCGAGCGUAUGGGGCUUCGUCACCCGCUCUUGUAGGCCCGGCCGGCGCUUGCCGACACAUCAAUCUUUUUUCCAGGUUGACCUCGGAUCAGGUAGGGAUACCCGCUGAACUUAAGCAUAUCAAUAAGCGGAGGA
rnacentral:misc_RNA from 1 species